rnacentral:lncRNA from 1 species
CUCACGUUGAUAAAAAUCUCCAUUUCUUUUAACACCAAUUACGUUUUCCAAAUGGGCAAGCUUAUGUUCUGGCAUGAACCUGCUCACAUCAGGAAACCUGACUGGAAAAUAGAGAACUUGGCACUUCGGUCUGAUUAUUUUUUCCAAAUCCUUAGGUCUGUGGUCAGGAAUCAGCUUCAUAAAUUUUCCAAUGGACGUAAGAAACGAUUCCAUAUUAAAAGCAGAGUUGAACACCACAGUAUCAGCAACCAAACAUGAAAGAACCUGGUUGUAUCCAUACUGAAAAUCCCUUUCCUUGCACUUCUGGACAGGAUACGCCAAUUGGUUCUCAUGGAAGUAGAGGACCUUUU